rnacentral:rRNA from 1 species
AGCGAACGCUGGCGGCAGGCUUAACACAUGCAAGUCGAACGGGCACUUCGGUGUCAGUGGCAGACGGGUGAGUAACACGUGGGAACGUACCUUUUGGUUCGGAACAACUGAGGGAAACUUCAGCUAAUACCGGAUAAGCCCUUACGGGGAAAGAUUUAUCGCCGAAAGAUCGGCCCGCGUCUGAUUAGCUAGUUGGUAGGGUAAUGGCCUACCAAGGCGACGAUCAGUAGCUGGUCUGAGAGGAUGAUCAGCCACAUUGGGACUGAGACACGGCCCAAACUCCUACGGGAGGCAGCAGUGGGGAAGAUUGGACAAUGGGGGCACCCCUGAUCCAGCCAUGCCGCGUGAGUGAUGAAGGCCCUAGGGUUGUAAAGCUCUUUUGUGCGGGAAGAUAAUGACGGUACCCGCAGAAGAAGCCCCGGCUAACUUCGUGCCAGCAGCCGCCGUAA